GGAUCUGAAGGGGAUUAGGUUGUGACAUCUGUCACCCCAUUGAUGGCCAGGGUUGAUCAGCUGAUUUGGCUGGCUAGGUGGGUGUCCCCUUCUUUCCUCAUUGCUCCAUUUACAUCUUUCCCAAAGCUGCAUGCUUGGUGGAAGAGGAUGAACAGAAGAACAGACUAAUAUAGCUGGAAGGCACCUUAGAGUUCUUCUAGUUCAACUCCCUGCUCAAACAAGACCCUAUACCAUUUCAGAUCAAUGUCUCUCCAAUCUCUUCUUAAAAACCUUCAGUGAUUGACCAUCCCAGACAGAAGGAGUGUACCCUGUCUAUGGGAUACAAUUGCUGCAACUCCCGUGCUAGAAUCUCCAUCUAAUAAUUUGUUUACUUUGCUAUCAAUCAAGGCGCUAAUUAAGAAGUCAAUUGCAACUUCAUUUUAAAAACGUAAACUUAAUAAGUUAGUUAGCUCAGAUCUAAGCCUUGGCUCCGAGACUGCCACUAGCU
rnacentral:snRNA from 1 species